rnacentral:rRNA from 1 species
UGGGGAAUAUUGGACAAUGGGCGAAAGCCUGAUCCAGCGACGCCGCGUGUGUGAAGAGGGUCUGCGGGUUGUAAAGCACUUUCGAUGGGAACGAAAUGUGCCGGGUUAAUACCCCGGUAAGCUGACGUUACUCAAUGAAGAAGCACCGGCUAACUCUGUGCCAGCAGCCGCGGUAAUACAGAGGGUGCGAGCGUUAAUCGGAAUUACUGGGCGUAAAGCGCACGUAGGUGGCGACGUAAGUCGGGUGUGAAAGCCCCGGGCUCAACCUGGGAACCGCAUUCGAGACUGUGUUGCUGGAGUACGGAAGAGGGGGGUAGAAUUCCACGUGUAGCAGUGAAAUGCGUAGAUAUGUGGAGGAAUACCGAUGGCGAAGGCAGCCCCCUGGGAUAACACUGACGCUCAUGCACGAAAGCGUGGGGAGCAAACAGGAUUAGAUACCCACGUAGUCCCUGAGCGGGCUGGCAAGGCGCAU